rnacentral:tRNA from 8 species
AGUUGAAAGAAAGAGUUGAACUUUCCAUAAUAGUUCCUAAAACUACUGCAUUUACCGCUUUGCUAUCCCAAC